ACAGAAGGAUCAGGGGUGUGCUCUUAGCAACACUGCCAGGCGAUGGAGGCAGCAUGAAGAUCCGGUGUGCAGGUGCUCAAGGGCAGAGUGCCAACAGUGCCCUUGGCUAAACUCUUCGCAACAAACCCCUGUGAGUAUGCUGGCUGUUUCUAUCGAGUCUGCCUGGGACAAGGUGCAAACGGCCUUUUGGACAAAACAAUCUGGCAGUGACCUGCAGGGUGGGUAGAGAGAUGGGGGGUCCAUCUGGCAAAAAGGUGUAGGCAAGGGGCUGGGCUACAAGAGGCAGUGAGUGAGGGUGGGAAGAAAUGGCUGUUGGAAACACACCUCUUACUGUGCCGAGUGCCUGCCUGUGCUACAGCUACACUCUCCAGGUGACGUGCGUGUCCACUGUCUGCGUGGAAAGCCACAUGCUGCUUUCAGACUGAAGGGGAACUGAAGACACGUCCACGGAACUGAGCAUCUGAUGGGCAACUGGAGCCCCAGCGAAGCCCGCCUCCUGUCUGGGCCGCUCCAG